rnacentral:rRNA from 1 species
UCGAGAGGCUUCGGCAAUGGGGGAAACCCUGACCGAGCGACGCCGCGUGGGUGAUGAAGAUCCUUGGAUCGUAAAACCCUGUCAGGUGGGAUGAAACCUCAUUUGGUUAAUACCUGAGUGAAUUGACAGUACCACCAGAGGAAGCUCCGGCUAACUCCGUGCCAGCAGCCGCGGUAACACGGGGGGAGCAAGCGUUGUUCGGAUUCAUUGGGCGUAAAGAGCUCGUAGGCGGCUUCGUAAGUCAGAGGUGAAAGGUUACGGCUCAACCGUGAGAACGCCUUUGAAACUACGAAGCUUGAGGCCGGGAGAGGAAAGUGGAAUUCCUGGAGUAGCGGUGAAAUGCGUAGAUAUCAGGAGGAACACCAGUGGCGAAGGCGACUUUCUGGACCGGUUCUGACGCUGAGGAGCGAAAGCAUGGGGAGCGAACA